CCUGAUGGAGGGGGAUAACUACUGGAAACGGUAGCUAAUACCGCAUAACGUCGCAAGACCAAAGAGGGGGACCUUCGGGCCUCUUGCCAUCAGAUGUGCCCAGAUGGGAUUAGCUAGUAGGUGGGGUAACGGCUCACCUAGGCGACGAUCCCUAGCUGGUCUGAGAGGAUGACCAGCCACACUGGAACUGAGACACGGUCCAGACUCCUACGGGAGGCAGCAGUGGGGAAUAUUGCACAAUGGGCGCAAGCCUGAUGCAGCCAUGCCGCGUGUAUGAAGAAGGCCUUCGGGUUGUAAAGUACUUUCAGCGGGGAGGAAGGCGAUAAGGUUAAUAACCUUGUCGAUUGACGUUACCCGCAGAAGAAGCACCGGCUAACUCCGUGCCAGCAGCCGCGGUAAU
rnacentral:rRNA from 1 species